ensembl:snRNA U6 U6 spliceosomal RNA
GAGGAUACUACAUGCACGUAUACCCAAAUUACAAUACAGAGAUUAACAUGACACUUGCACAAGGAUAAUAUGAAAAUUUGUUAAGUAUUCUAUAUUUUU